CCUACGGGAGGCAGCAGUGAGGAAUAUUGGUCAAUGGGCGCGAGCCUGAACCAGCCAAGUCGCGUGAGGGAUGAAGGUUCUAUGGAUCGUAAACCUCUUUUAUAAGGGAAUAAAGUGUGGGACGUGUCCUAUUUUGUAUGUACCUUAUGAAUAAGGAUCGGCUGACUCCGUGCUAGCAGCCGCGGUAAUACGGUGGAUCGGAGCGUUAUCCGGAUUUAUUGGGUUUAAAGGGUGCGUAGGCGGCCUUUUAAGUCAGCGGUGAAAGUCUGUGGCUCAACCAUAGAAUUGCCGUUGAUACUGGGGGACUUGAGUAUGUUUGAGGCAGGCGGAAUGCGUGGUGUAGCGGUGAAAUGCUUAGAUAUAACGCAGAACCCCGAUUGCGAAGGCAGCCUGCCAAGCCAUGACUGACGCUGAGGCACGAAAGCGUGGGGAUCAAACAGGAUUAGAUACCCGAGUAGUC
rnacentral:rRNA from 1 species